UACGUAGGGGGCAAGCGUUGUCCGGAUUUAUUGGGCGUAAAGAGCGUGUAGGCGGCCAGGUAGGUCCGUUGUGAAAACUCGAGGCUCAACCUCGAGACGCCGAUGGAAACCAUCUGGCUAGAGUCCGGAAGAGGAGAGUGGAAUUCCCGGUGUAGCGGUGAAAUGCGCAGAUAUCAGGAGGAACACCGGUGGCGAAGGCGGGUCUCUGGGCAGUAACUGACGCUGAGGAGCGAAAGCGUGGGGAGCGAACAGG
rnacentral:rRNA from 1 species